AACAGAGUUUUAAAAGACUCACACAUAUAAUAUGAACUUAAUUUAAGCAUUGGAUUGGAAUUUAUACUCUUUGUAGUUAGAAGUAAAGACAAUCACCUAGAAGUGCUUCUCUAUAUGGAGCUGGGGCAAUGGCCAGAUCAUUGCAUAUUUAUAAAUCCAUGCAUCCAAAACAAGGGCCUAAUUGUGACCUACACAAGGGAAUUUGGCUUUAAGUUGUGAAAAUUUCUUCUUUAUCUCUUAUAUCACGUUAAAAUUUGGGGUGUCCAUUCUAAUUUCUUUUUUUAACCUGCCUGCCUUUAAUAUUUUAUUCUGAUCUAAACUAUGACCAAUAUUAAUCAUUUUAAUAUUUUUUCUUUGAGAACCUGCAUGGAAUUAUAAUUUUCUCUCAUUGGCAAACUUUCCUUAGCUAGAAGAAUUGUAUCCAAUGUAUUCUUCAUGGCUGGAUGAGACAUUCUGCAUUGCCAGUAAUGGCUGGCCAUUCGUUAGAGCACUGCACAGUCUUGACUCUCAGAUUAAGCUCAUGACAUACAUCAUGAAGUGGGUAUGGAAAAGAACAAGGAAGACUUUAAGUGGAAAUUUUUCAUGGAUUCAGUUUGUAGCUGAAAUAAACCAGAAGCAUUCCAGACGUCAGGAGGUUUCAGAAUUAACUGGUUUCUCUCUGAUACACCCACAGUAUAAAGGAGCUGCUCAGAUGUUUGCUAAAUGA
rnacentral:lncRNA from 1 species